GUCUUUAAGAAUUAAUUUAAAGUCGAGCCUGCUCACUGAUUUUAUAUUAAAGAGCCGCGGUAUUUUGACCGUGCAAAGGUAGCAUAAUCAAUAGUCUUUUAAUUGAAGACUGGAAUGAAUGGUUUGACGAAAUAAUAACUGUCUUAAUGUAAAUAAUUGAAUUUUAUUUUUAAGUUAAAAAGCUUAAAUGUUUGAAAGGGACGAGAAGACCCUAUAGAUUUUUAUAUUAUUAUUAAAUAAGAAUUUUAGUGUAUUUAUUUAAUGAUAUUAUUUGAUUGGGGUGAUAUUAGAAUAGAUAAACUUCUAUUAAAAUAAACAAAAAUGAAUGAAUUUAGGAUCCUUUAUUAGUGAUUAAAAGAUUAAAAUACCUUAGGGAUAACAGCGUAAUUUUGUUUGAGAGUUCUAAUCGAUAAUAAAGAUUGCGACCUCGAUGUUGGAUUAAGAAUAUUUUUUGGUGCAGUAAUUAAAAAAAUAAGUCUGUUCGACUUUUAAAUUCUUACA
rnacentral:rRNA from 1 species